UUUCCGUGGAUGAAUCUGGGAGGACUGA
rnacentral:sRNA from 1 species